AAUCAUACCAGAACAAAGAAGACAUGGCAAAACAAAAGAUUACUGCAGGAUCAACUUGGGGGAAACAUUUAAGGCAACGUUUGCAAAAACUAUUAUACUGAGUGAAUCAAGGUAGCACAUUUUAGCAUGUGUAGACAACACUGAUCAAUCUUGCAAACAUCACUACUACAUAAUAUAACCAUCAUGCAAAAUUAACGCAUCAUGAGAAGGGAAACAUCACAUCCGAACUUGGGGAAGUUCACUCCAUUGAGGAAGAGGUCGGACCACCGCCAUAGCCGCCACCACGGCCAAAGCCACCUGCACCACCACCACGGCCAAACCCACCACCA